GCAGUGUUGGAUCAAUGGUAGAGUUCUUGCCUUCUAUGCAGGGGACCUGGGUUCAAUUCCUGGCCAUUGCA
rnacentral:tRNA from 1 species